UGGGGAAUUUUCCGCAAUGGGCGAAAGCCUGACGGAGCAAGUCCGCGUGAGGGAGGACGGCUUUUGGGUUGUAAACCUCUUUUAUCAGGGAAGAAGAUCUGACGGUACCUGAUGAAUCAGCAUCGGCUAACUCCGUGCCAGCAGCCGCGGUAAUACGGAGGAUGCAAGCGUUAUCCGGAUUUAUUGGGCGUAAAGCGUCCGCAGGUGGUUUUACAAGUCUGCUGUUAAAGCGCAGGGCUUAACUCUGUAACGGCGGUGGAAACUGUCAGACUAGAGUAUGGUAGGGGUAGCGGGAAUUCCCAGUGUAGCGGUGAAAUGCGUAGAUAUUGGGAAGAACACCAGCGGCGAAAGCGCGCUACUGGGCCAUUACUGACACUCAUGGACGAAAGCUAGGGGAGCGAAAGGGAUUAGAUACCCCUGUAGUC
rnacentral:rRNA from 1 species